rnacentral:lncRNA from 1 species
AACUCCUGACGGCCACUUAGAUCGGGCUCCUCUAACGCCUUUUUCUGACACUAGCUUUUAUUUCCUCCAUUUUUUUAUCGCUUUUCUAUUCUAUUUUUUUCUUUUUUUUCUUUUCUUCUUUCUUCCUUUUCCGACUUUCCCCUUUUAUGUUCUUAUUUUACGGAGCCCUAUGUCACGGCCUUAGCGUUUCUGUUCGCAAAGCCCGUGCGGCGCCCGCCUUCCUGUUCGAAGAUGGGCAAGCCUUCGUCCCUGUUGCUAACCCGGACCUUCGUGUCAUACGACUAAGUAUGCAAAGGGAAUGACAAAGAGAGAGAGGCAGAAGUUCACUCAAAAAAACUAAGUACUCCACUACUUAGAAAAAGAGAAUUACAACCUACACAUACACAUACUCUCUCUUGUGUCCUUAGGCCUUAGCCAAACCCCACUAUUUAUAGGUUUCUAGAUACAUUGAAUCUAGCCAUCCCACUAACUCAUAUAUUAACUCACCCUCAUAAUGAGCCAAAAGCCCAAGAGUUACCCUAUUAACUCUUGGUAAUCUCAUAACUCUUGAGCUUCCAUCAUUGAUAGAAAAAGUUACAAAACCCUUCGUCUUCCCACAGCGGGUUGGGUUUGGGUCUCUUUAACGACUCGCUCCGCUAGCGAAGUUGGGCGACUGUCAAGGAACAGUCAGCGGAAAACAUUUUAUCCGUGUCACCUAGCUGCUCCUAUCUUAUACACUAAAAGUUUACCCUUUUUAUGU